rnacentral:rRNA from 1 species
GACGAACGCUGGCGGCGUGCUUAACACAUGCAAGUCGAACGGGCCCGCUCUCUUUUUUGGGGGUGGGUUGAGUGGCGAACGGGUGAGGAUCACGUGAGUAACCUGCCCCCUGCUCCUGGAUAACUGCUUGAAAGGGCGGCUAAUACGGGGUGUGCCGGCUGGUCCGCAUGGGCCUGGUCGGGAUAGUUUCAUCUUCGGGUGUUUCGGUGGGGGAUGGGCUCGCGGCCUAUCAGCUUGUUGGUGGGGUGAUGGCCCACCAAGGCGGUGACGGGUAGCCGGCGUGAGAGGGUGGGCGGCCAGACUGGGACUGAGACACGGCCCAGACUCCUGCGGGAGGCAGCAGUGGGGGGUAGUGCACAAUGGGCGGAAGCCUGAUGCAGCGACGUCGCGUGAGGGAUGGAGGCCUUCGGGUUGUGAACCUCUUUCUCCGGUGGUGAAGGCCCUGUCCGUUGCGGCGGGGUUGACGGUAGCCGGGGAUGAAGCGCCGGCUAACUACGUG